rnacentral:miRNA from 1 species
CACACCUCACUAACACUAACU